UUAUCCCAUCGACCUUUUGCCUCUGGGCUUUUACCUUUCUCUAUUUCUGCGUAUCUUUUCUUUUCUUCUUAUUUCAUGUCUAGCUGUGUGACUGGAUCAUUUUUACUCACUCCUUU